UUGGAUAUUUCCAUGGGGCAGAAAGAAACAUAAAGCAGAAAACAGCUUCUCCAGGAGGGGAAGAAGUAAGUGCUUCUAGACUCUGCAGCUGCUUGUUACUCAAGCAGUAAAUCUGAUUCUCAGCUUUCUGGUUGCCAUGGGAAGUAAAGAAACAAAAAGCAGAUUGAAGAAUCUAGCUCGAACUGACUCAAAAGUGGACAAUCCCUGUGGAGUUUCUUUCCUAAAGACAGUGCCUGAGGUGAAAACUGAGCUACUCAAAAUUUCCUCCUUGAAAAAUCCCAGAUCCCUCAAUCACCUACAAAGUCCAAAAUGCAUAGUUUUCUGUAUAAAAAUAUAACAUGUUAUAAAUUCGUAACAUAGGUGGUCACAUAUAGUAUAUGGGUAAAUAGGCAAACUGUAAUUUUACAGUACUGCAUUUGUAAAUGUUCUUUUUUUAAUGGCAAAACUAUGCAAAAUUGCCAAUAUUUGGACAUUUUUAACCUAUGAAAAUGGUAAUUUCAUGUGAUCCAACCUAAUAAAUCACUAUUUUUCUCUUUUGCUUUA